GGAUAGAGGUGCGGUUUUAAUGAGUAUGGUUCCACAGGCCUGCCAAGGCUGUUGACGGGAGCCGGAAAGGUAACGCCGCCGAAGGCGCCGCCCGGCAAGCGGCCCUGGUUGCCGGCAUGAAGAAUGCGGCAACUGUCAUCAUUUUAGUAUGAUGGAGCGCUAUCC
rnacentral:ncRNA from 1 species